AGUGUUUUCCCUCCACUUAAAUCGAAGGG
rfam:Tobacco mild green mosaic virus strain TOB coat protein mRNA, complete cds.